GAGAUGGCGUGCAGGAAGCCGGGCAGCGGCUGGGAGCGCUUUCAUUUUCCUGGGGCUCUGCGUGUGUCUGAACAUCCUGGAGGGAGCCCUCUCAGGGAAGAGCUGCAGAGCCCCCGGCAGUGUGCAGCGCCGAUAAGGAGAUGAAACAAUGGCUGCAACACUGAGAGCCCCGCACAGUUACUUGCUGAGGAAUCCUUUGUCCUAUAGUGAGAGCUAACAGCCAGCAGGAAAACAAGAAGAACUUUUCAUGCAGCUUCAGUGAGUAUAUGUCUGUCGGUUCAUGGAGGUCAGGAGCUUGCCCUUAUGUGUCAGUCUGCGAGCAGGCUGGGGUUGUACAGAAUAAGCUGUGUGCUGUAACGGUGAGACAUGGACUUUGAAAAGACAAAUCAGCCAGCACUGACUUCUGACAGCCAGGAACAAGAAAGCCUGUUUUCACAGCAACCCCAGUGGGCACUUGGCUUCUCAAGUACAAAGCGCCUUCCAGCAGAGGCAUGUCGGUGUGUAGGGCGAACUUCGGAAAUGUGUUUUACAGAAAGAAGAUUCUGCUGUACAAUAAGAUGCCAAAACGA